GAUGAACGCUGACAGAAUGCUUAACACAUGCAAGUCAACCUGUGGCGGACGGGUGAGUAACGCGUAAAGAAAUUGCCUCUCAGCUAGGGACAACAUUUGGAAACGAUAGCUAAUACCUGAUACUGUGAGAGAGCUUUGCGUCCCAUUAGCUAGUUGGAGAGGUAACGGCUCACCAAGGCGAGGAUGGGUAGCCGGCCUGAGAGGGUGAUCGGGCACAAGGGGACUGAGACGCGGCCCUUGCUGAUACUUGAGGCAGGAGUGUGGACUCGUGGACACUGUGCCAAAGUCUGAUGCAGCAAUUCGGUGUGCACGAUGAAGUUUUCGGAAUGAAAAGUGCUAUGAGUUUGGAAGCGUUACCAACAGAAGAAGUGACGGCUAAAUACGUGCCAGCAGCCGCGGUAAUUC
rnacentral:rRNA from 1 species